rnacentral:rRNA from 1 species
AACGAACGCUGGCGGCAUGCCUAACACAUGCAAGUCGAACGAGACCUUCGGGUCUAGUGGCGCACGGGUGCGUAACGCGGGGGAACCUGCCCUUAGGUUCGGAAUAACACCCUGAAAGGGGUGCUAAUACCGGAAAAUGUCUUCGGACCAAAGAUUUGUCGCCCUUGGAUGGGCCCGCGAUGGACUAGCUAGUUGGUAGGGUAAAAGCCUACCACGGCGAGGAUCCAUAGCUGGUCUGAGAGGAUGGUCAGCCACACUGGGAGGGGGACACGGCCCGGAAUCUUAGGGGAGGCAGCAGAGGGGAAUAUUGGAAGACGGGCGAGAGCCUGAUCCAGCAAUGCCGCGUGAGUGAUGAAGGCGUUAGGGUUGUAAAGCUCUUUUACCCGGGAUGAUAAUGACGGUACCGGGAGAAUAAGCUCCGGCUAACUCCGUG